AGAGUUUGAUCCUGGCUCAGGACGAACGCUGGCGGCGUGCUUAACACAUGCAAGUCAAGGAGAACGAAUCCUUCGGGAUACUAUUAAACUGGCGAACGGGUGAGUAACACGUAGGCAACCUACCUCAGAGAUUGGGAUAACUUCGGGAAACCGGAGCUAAUACCGAAUAAUGCAGCGGAUCCUUCGGGAUAUGUUGUUAAAGUGGGCUUCGGCUCACACUUUGAGAUGGGCCUGCGUCCGAUUAGCUUGUUGGUGAGGUAAUGGCUUACCAAGGCGAUGAUCGGUAGCUGGUCUGAGAGGAUGAUCAGCCACACUGGGAUUGAGAUACGGCCCAGACUCCUACGGGAGGCAGCAGUGGGGAAUUUUGCGCAAUGGACGAAAGUCUGACGCAGCAACGCCGCGUGAUCGAUGAAGCUUCUAGGAGUGUAAAGAUCUGUCGUGAGGGAAGAAAAAUCUGGAUGUAAAUAAUGUUCAGACGUGACGGUACCUCACAAGAAAGCACCGGCUAACUUCGUGCCAGCAGCCGCGGUAAUACGAGGGGUGCUAGCGUUGUCCGGAAUUACUGGGCGUAAAGGGUUCGUAGGCGUCUUGCCAAGUUGAUCGUUACAGCCACCGGCUUAACCGGUGAUCUGCGAUCAAAACUGGUAAGAUAGAAUAUGUGAGGGGAAUGUGGAAUUCCUGGUGUAGCGGUGACAUGCGUAGAUAUCAGGAGGAACACCAAUGGCGAAGGCAGCAUUCUGGCACAAUAUUGACGCUGAGGAACGAAAGCGUGGGGAGCGAACAGGAUUAGAUACCCUGGUAGUCCACGCCGUAAACGAUGAGUACUUGGUGGUGGGGGAUUCGACCCCUUCACUAUCGGAGCUAACGCGUUAAGUACUCCGCCUGGGGACUACGGCCGCAAGGCUGAAACUCAAAGGAAUUGACGGGGACCCGCACAAGCGGUGGAACAUGUGGUUUAAUUCGAUGCAACGCGAAGAACCUUACCUGUACUUGACAUGUUAGUGAAACUCCGGUGAAAGCCGGAGCCUCCGCGAGCUUGCUCAAGGACACUAUCACAGGU
rnacentral:rRNA from 1 species